rnacentral:sRNA from 1 species
AUGUCCCACGCACGGUCCGGUUCUUCCGCGCCGUCCGCACCCACCUGACGACUGCCCGCUACGUUUUGUCAGCC